CGGGGCGUGGCGCAGCCUGGUAGCGCGCAUCCUUUGGGAGGAUGAAGUCGGAGGUUCGAGUCCUCCCGCCCCGA
rnacentral:tRNA from 1 species